UGAGAUAGAGGAUGCGUCCGGUCAAUAGUAAUAUGUCUUAUGCUGUGCAGGGCAGGGCAUACGAAAGGGACUGACGCCGAAGAGAGGAAGGGCUGCAUCCCGACCGAUCUGGGCGGACGGAAUAAUAUCCGUACGACUGUCGCGAUUACGCGGAGCGCUAUCC
rnacentral:ncRNA from 1 species